rnacentral:rRNA from 1 species
AGGAUAACCAUGCGAGUUGUAUGGGAUACCUAGAUUUCCCAUAGCAAACUGCUUAGUAACACAUGAUCAACUUACCCUAUGGAGAAAUAUAACCUCGGGAAACUGAGGAUAAUACUUCAUAGUUGAAUAGGCUUGGAAAAGUUUUUCAAUGAAAGGGAUAAGAAAAAUGGUUCUUAUCUGCCAUAGGAUAGGAUCGUGCUUGAUUAUGGUUGUUGGUGAGGUAAAGGCUCACCAAGCCGAUAAUCGAUAGGGGCCGUGAGAGCGGGAGCCCCAAGAUGGGUACUGAGACAGCGACCCAGGCCUUACGAGGCGCAGCAGGUACGAAACCUCCGCAAUACACGAAAGUGUGACGGGGUUACCCAAAGUGUUCUUAUAGAACUGUGGCAGGUGAGUAAUGUCCCCUGCUAGAAAGGAGAGGGCAAGGCUGGUGCCAGCCGCCGCGGUAAAACCAGCUCUUCAAGUGGUCGGGAUAAUUAUUGGGCUUAAAGUGUCCGUAGCCGGUUUAGUAAGUUCCUGGUAAAAUCAGGUAGCUUAACUAUCUGUAUGCUAGGAAUACUGCUAUACUAGAGGGCGGGAGAGGUCUGAGGUACUACAGGGGUAGGGGUGAAAUCUUAUAAUCCUUGUAGGACCACCAGUGGCGAAGGCGUCAGACUGGAACGCGCCUGACGGUGAGGGACGAAAGCCAGGGGAGCGAACCGGAUAAAUACCCGGGUAUCU